UCACAUGGUGUGGGAUGAUGUUGACU
rnacentral:piRNA from 1 species